rnacentral:rRNA from 1 species
GUAGGUGGCAAGCGUUGUCCGGAAUUAUUGGGCGUAAAGCGCGCGCAGGCCGGGGGGUUUUUAAGUCUGAUGUGAAAGCCCACGGGCUCAACCGUGGAGGGUCAUUGGAAACUGGAGAACUUGAGUACAGAAGAGGAAAGCGGAAUUCCACGUGUAGCGGUGAAAUGCGUAGAGAUGUGGAGGAACACCAGUGGCGAAGGCGGCUUUCUGGUCUGUAACUGACGCUGAGGCGCGAAAGCGUGGGGAGCAAACAGGAUUAGAUACCCUGGUAGUCCACGCCGUAAACGAUGAGUGCUAAGUGUUAGGGGGUUUCCGCCCCUUAGUGCUGCAGCUAACGCAUUAAGCACUCCGCCUGGGGAGUACGGCCGCAAGGCUG